rnacentral:rRNA from 1 species
GAGUUUGAUCCUGGCUCAGGAUGAACGCUAGCUACAGGCUUAACACAUGCAAGUCGAGGGGCAGCAUGGUCUUAGCUUGCUAAGGCUGAUGGCGACCGGCGCACGGGUGAGUAACACGUAUCCAACCUGCCGUCUACUCUUGGCCAGCCUUCUGAAAGGAAGAUUAAUCCAGGAUGGGAUCAUGAGUUCACAUGUCCGCAUGAUUAAAGGUAUUUUCCGGUAGACGAUGGGGAUGCGUUCCAUUAGAUAGUAGGCGGGGUAACGGCCCACCUAGUCAACGAUGGAUAGGGGUUCUGAGAGGAAGGUCCCCCACAUUGGAACUGAGACACGGUCCAAACCCCUACGGGAGGCAGCAGUGAGGAAUAUUGGUCAAUGGGCGAUGGCCUGAACCAGCCAAGUAGCGUGAAGGAUGACUGCCCUAUGGGUUGUAAACUUCUUUUAUAAAGGAAUAAAGUCGGGUAUGCAUACCCGUUUGCAUGUACUUUAUGAAUAAGGAUCGGCUAACUCCGUGCCAGCCGCCGCGGUAAUUC